UACGAGUACCCCAAGCGUUAUCCGGAAUCAUUGGGCGUAAAGGGUGUGUAGGUGGUCUAAUUAGUCUUCUGUUAAAGCUCCUGGCUCAACCGGGACCAUGCAGAGGAAACGGUUAGACUCGAGGGUGCGAGGGGUGAAUGGAACUCAUGGAGUAGGGGUGAAAUCCGUUGAUAUCAUGGGGAACACCGAAAGCGAAGGCAAUUCACUGGCGCAUUUCUGACACUGAGACACGAAAGCGUGGGUCGCGAACGGG
rnacentral:misc_RNA from 1 species